rnacentral:rRNA from 1 species
GGGGAAUUUUGGACAAUGGGCGAAAGCCUGAUCCAGCAAUGCCGCGUGUGUGAAGAAGGCCUUCGGGUUGUAAAGCACUUUUGUCCGGAAAGAAAUCCUCUGGGUUAAUACCUCGGGGGGAUGACGGUACCGGAAGAAUAAGCACCGGCUAACUACGUGCCAGCAGCCGCGGUAAUACGUAGGGUGCAAGCGUUAGUCGGAAUUACUGGGCGUAAAGCGUGCGCAGGCGGUUUUGUAAGACGGAUGUGAAAUCCCCGGGCUUAACCUGGGAACUGCAUUCGUGACUGCAAGGCUAGAGUAUGGCAGAGGGGGGUAGAAUUCCACGUGUAGCAGUGAAAUGCGUAGAGAUGUGGAGGAAUACCGAUGGCGAAGGCAGCCCCCUGGGCCAAUACUGACGCUCAUGCACGAAAGCGUGGGGAGCAAACA